GACAGAGGGUGCAAACGUUGUUCGGAAUUACUGGGCGUAAAGCGCGUGUAGGCGGCUCUGAAAGUUGGAUGUGAAAUCCCUGGGCUUAACCUAGGAAUUGCAUACAAGACUGGAUAUCUGGAGUACUGUAGAGGGUAGUGGAAUUUCCGGUGUAGCGGUGAAAUGCGUAGAGAUCGGAAGGAACACCAGUGGCGAAGGCGGCUACCUGGACAGAUACUGACGCUGAGGCGCGAGAGCGUGGGGAGCAAACAGG
rnacentral:rRNA from 1 species